rnacentral:misc_RNA from 1 species
GCGGAAGCGUAUGUGGGGAACCGAGGACUGCCUACCAUCGUCAAUUCCUUCACCAACACACUCGAGGCACUGCUGAACUACCUACACAUACUGCCUAGUAGGAAGCGGACAAUUUCGGUUCUGCACGAUGUUAGCGGAAUCAUCAAGCCUCGCAGGAUGACUCUACUGUUAGGUCCCCCGGGAUCGGGAAAGACCACACUGUUGCUGGCUUUGGCGGG